CACGUAGGGGGCAAGCGUUGUCCGGAUUUAUUGGGCGUAAAGAGCUCGUAGGUUGCUGAGUAAGUCGGGUGUUAAAUCCCCAGGCUUAACCUGGGAACUGCAUCCGAUACUGGAUGGCUUGAAUCCGGGAGAGGGAUGCAGAAUUCCAGGUGUAGCGGUGAAAUGCGUAGAUAUCGGAAGGAACACCAGUGGCGAAAGCGGCUUCCUCGGUCCAGCACCGACGUUCAGGCACGAAAGCGUGGGGAGCAAACAGG
rnacentral:rRNA from 1 species